CAGGAUGAACGCGGGCGGCGUGCUUAAUACAUGCAAGUCGAACGGAGAGUUUUGUAGUAAUACGAAACUUCUCAGUGGCGAACGGGCGAGUAACGAGUUGGUGACCUGCCCCGAAGUGUGGGAUAACAGUCCGAAAGGAUUGCUAAUACCGCAUGUGAUUAUCGGUUUUAGAAUCUGAUAAUUAAAGCAGUAAUGCGCUUCGGGAGGGACCUGCUUCCCAUCAGCUAGUUGGUGAGGUAAUGGCCCACCAAGGCUACGACGGGUAAGGGACCUGAGAGGGUGGUCCCUCGCAAUGGCACUGAAACACGGGCCAUACACCUACGGGUGGCAGCAGUAGGGAAUAUUGGGCAAUGGGCGAAAGCCUGACCCAGCAACGCCGCGUGCACGAUGAAGGCCUUCGGGUCGUAAAGUGCUUUUCUGAGGGAUGAGUAAGGACAGUACCUCAGGAAUAAGCCUCGGCUAACUAUGUGCCAGCAGCCGCGGUAAAACGUAGAGGCAAGCGUUAUCCGGAUUUACUGGGCGUAAAGCGUGUGUAGGCGGUUCGGCAAGUUGGAUGUGAAAGCUCCUGGCUUAACUAGGAGAGGUCGUUCAAUACUACCGAACUUGAGGGCAUCAGAGGAAGGUGGAAUUCCCGGUGUAGUGGUGAAAUGCGUAGAUAUCGGGAGGAACACCAGUGGCGAAGGCGGCCUUCUGGGAUGUUCCUGACGCUCAGACACGAAAGCUAGGGUAGCGAACGGGAUUAGAGACCCCGGUAGUCCUAGCAGUAAACGAUGUAGACUUGGUGUCGGAGGUGUCAAAACCUUCGGUAUCGUAGCUAACGCGAUAAGUCUACCGCCUGGGGACUACGGCCGCA
rnacentral:rRNA from 1 species